rnacentral:rRNA from 1 species
AAUAGAUACCCGGGUAGUCCUGGCCGUAAACGAUGUCGACUAGAUCGCGAGUUCCUUUGACGGAAUUGUGGUCGAAGCAAAAGUGCUAAGUCGACCGCCUGGGAAGUACGGUCGCAAGGCUAAAACUCAAAGAAAUUGACGGGGGUUCACACAAGCGGUGGAGCAUGUGGUUCAAUUCGAAGCAACGCGCAGAACCUUACCUGGGCUUGACAUGCUAGGAUUAUCUCGGUGAAAGUCGAGUAGGCCCCGCAAGGGGUACAACUAGUACAGGUGCUGCAUGGCUGUCGUCAGCUCGUGUCGUGAGAUGUCGGGUUAAGUCCCUUAACGAGCGAAACCUUUGCCCUUAGUUACCAGCGGGUUAUGGCCGGGGACUCUAAGGGGACUGCCGGUGUCAAACCGGAGGAAGGUGGAGAUGACGUCAAGUCCUCAUGGCCUUUAUGCCCAGGGCCACACACGUGCUACAAUGGGAUGCACAAAGCGAACCAAGACCGCAAGGUGGUGGAAAUCGCAGAAAUCAUCCCCAGUUCAGAUCGGAGGCUGCUAACCG